rnacentral:rRNA from 1 species
UACGUAGGGUGCAAGCGUUAAUCGGAAUUACUGGGCGUAAAGCGUGCGCAGGCGGUUUUGUAAGUCUGUCGUGAAAGCCCCGGGCUCAACCUGGGAAUUGCGAUGGAGACUGCAAGGCUUGAAUCUGGCAGAGGGGGGUAGAAUUCCACGUGUAGCAGUGAAAUGCGUAGAGAUGUGGAGGAACACCGAUGGCGAAGGCAGCCCCCUGGGCCAGCACUGACGCUCAUGCACGAAAGCGUGGGGAGCAAACAGG